CGCAUCUGUGCAUGCAGCAUAUCAAUAAGCGGAGGAAAAGAAACUAACAAGGAUUCCCUCAGUAACGGCGAGUGAAGCGGGAAGAGCUCAAAUUUGAAAUCUUGAAAGGUCACCUUUCACGAAUUGUAGUUUAAAGAAGUGUUUUCUGUUACGAUCGUAAUAUAAGUUCUUUGGAAUAGGACAUCACAGAGGGUGAGAAUCCCGUCUAUGAUUGCGAUUUGUAGCUUUGUGAUACACUUUCAAAGAGUCGGGUUGUUUGGGAAUGCAGCCCAAAACGGGAGGUAAAUUUCUUCUAAGGCUAAAUAUUGGCGAGAGACCGAUAGCGAACAAGUACCGUGAGGGAAAGAUGAAAAGAACUUUGAAAAGAGAGUUAAAUAGUACGUGAAAUUGUCAAAAGGGAAGCGUUUAACACCAGUGUUGUUUUCUGAAAAUCAACCCUCUGUUAGCUUUAUGCAUGUUUGUUUAGACCUAAUCAGCUAUCUUUCAUGUUCUAUUGUUUGCAGUGGUGCACUUUUCAGUUUACAGGUCAACAUCAGUUUUUUUUACCGUAAAAAAGUUAAAGAAAGGUAGCUCAUGGCUCCGGUCGUGAGUGUUAUAGUCUUUUUCCUAUGCGGUAGGAGAGACUGAGGUCUGCAGUGUAGGCUAUUUGGCUAGAUACUCAGGUGCUAUGUGAUACCAUUUCAUAAACAACUUGUUGAUUAUGUUUUGUCUAUUGCAUACUCGCUUGUACUAUCAUACCUACGCUUAGGAUGUUGACGAUCAGCUGAGCGCG
rnacentral:rRNA from 1 species